rnacentral:snRNA from 1 species
GGAUGGGAGGGCGACAUCUGUCACUCCAUUCGUCACCAGGGUGGAUUUGGCUGAUCUGGCUGGCUAGGUGGGUGUCUCCUUCCUCCCUCACCGCUCCAUGUGCGUCCCUCCUGAGGCUGCAGACUAGGUGGAAGAGGAUGGCCUCCCCUUAACAGAGACGGACCAGUCUUCAGUGGAGGGUAUAUGAGUAGCUGUGCUCCCCUGAUAGAACCUCCAAAUAAGCUCUCGAGGUCCAUAACCCUGGUAAGGAAAAAAAAAAAUGCUGAACUUUAACUUUACUGUUUUUUUAU